UACGUAGGGGGCUAGCGUUGUCCGGAUUUAUUGGGUGUAAAGGGCGCGUAGGCGGCUUCUUAAGUCGAUCGUGAAAUCUACUUGCUCAACUUGUAGGCUGCGGUCGAUACUGAGUUGCUUGAGUAACGCAGAGGUAAGCGGAAUUUCCAGUGUAGCGGUGAAAUGCGUAGAUAUUGGAAGGAACACCAGUGGCGAAGGCGGCUUGCUGGGCUUUUACUGACGCUGAGGCGCGAAAGCAUGGGUAGCAAAC
rnacentral:rRNA from 1 species